GUGCCGUGCUGCUGGGUGCUUGUAUCUCUGGCACUAGUUCACUCACAGCUCAGUUGGUACCGGACGGUCGCCGCGCGUGGAACCCCGCCACGCUCCCCGCCGCUCUUCUCUACAUAGCGUCUUGUUGCUCUCUCAGGAUACCGUCACCACCAGCAGGAGGGAAACCCAACUAAACGAGAGAAAAAAAAAAGGAGAUACAGAAAGAGAGAAAGAAAAAGAUCUCCUAGAUAUUCUUGGUUGAAAUAGACUCAAAAGUUUAAGUGAAGUGAAGAAUAAAAGAAAAAUAUUCAACUUUUAUGUGAAGUGAGA